UCAAGAUUGAUGACAGCACGGUAACACCUGUGGAGAUUGGAAGGGUCUUAACAGAAGGGGCAUACAUGCUUCUUUAUGCAAGGUGCUCACCAAGGGCUCCAGGACUGAUAAGGAACAGAGUAGUAUCUCCAGAUCCGAAAAUAAAAGGCAGUCCAUCCAGAAUCAAUGCUAAGAAUACUGCACUGAAUUCAAGAUCCACAUCUUCUCACUCAAGUGCUGUUCGGUUACAUCCAAAUUCAAUUCCUCCGGAUAGGUUGGCCGGUGUUGAAUCUUUCUAUUUGAAGUUCCACCGCCUUCAAAAGAUUUUGGGAGAGGACUCAUCAAGUGACAAUUAUUCUUUUUCUAGCAGCAACUCCGAUGAGGGUUCAUGCAGUACUGAGAGCACCCGAGAUUCUAUGAGUACUGAUGACCUUUCAGAUUACAUUUUUGGUGGCUGUAGCAACUCUAGGAGGAACACAUUGGAUUCUGACACUUGUUCAUCAUCCUCUUCUUCCCCUUUGUAUUCAAGGCGCUCGCCUGAAACAAGGAGGUCUCGAAUUGAUCAUGCAGAUUCAGCAAUGGAGGGGGGUGAUUGGGAAGUCAAGGGAGGUGAUCCUUUUUUGCUUUCUGACAGGAGUAAACAAUUUAGAAAAUUAGGAAGUAGUAGUAGUUGUAGGGAGAUUGACUCAAAAUUAGGAUUGGUUAACCCUGUAAAAUCUGGCGUAUCCUUUAGAAGAUCAAUGAGCGAGAGGGCAGAUUAAGCAUUUUUCAGUCAGGUAAUUAAGAGUCGUAAAUAAGAGUUGAGAAAGAGGGGCUGUAUUUAAUGCACUCUUGUAUCUGGCUAUAUGUUUAAAAGAAAUUAGCCAUCACCACCAUUUUGUCAACUCCUUUCCCUUCUCAAGGAGUGUAUAGUGCUAGGGACCCUUUUCCAGAAUGAGUCUCAAAAGGGGUUUCAACCCCGUCAAUUGUUUACUUCAGAAACAACAUAUUAAAUGAUAAGUUGUUAAUAAUAAUAUUACCCGAU
rnacentral:misc_RNA from 1 species